GCGUCCUUAGCUCAGCUGGAUAGAGCGGCGGCCUUCUAAGCCGUAGGUCAGAGGUUCGAUCCCUCUAGGACGCACCA
rnacentral:tRNA from 1 species